rnacentral:tRNA from 1 species
GGGGGCGUAGCUCAGUUGGUUAGAGCGCAGCGUUGACAUCGCUGAGGUCAGAGAUUCGACUUCUCUCGUUCCCA